CAGAAUGCGCCUGCUCAGAUGCCCACAAGGGAAGGCUCUAUCAGGGAGGGGCUGCCCUUUUCCACUGAGGGUGCAGCUCAGGAGGGACAUACAUGGAUCCCUGAGGGAGGAAGGGGAUACCUGGCCAGCCAUCUGUGUCAGCUGAAUCUAGCCUAGGGACCAAUGGGAUGGACAAGCAACAAGGACCAAGCUGAGAAAAACCUCACUUCUGGAGCCCUAGAGAAGGAGAAGCCAAGAUAAGAGGCCAGCAUUUAUCCAAAGCCCUGCCAAUGGCCAGUCAGAGGUGACAAGCCCCAACCUGGCACCCUGAAUUCACUUGGCACUGGCUUUAACAUGCUGGAGGCUAAGACUGCCAAGGUGGGUGUGGCCCGUGGUCUGCCUGGAAAUGCUUCUAGCCCCAUGGGGAGUGAGGUCAAAUUGGAGGAAUACCAAGUACCCUGGGAGUCUGCCUGGUGUGUGUGCUUUCUUUGGGGAUACAGCAGGAAAUGCUCUUGGACUGGGUCAAGAAAGAAGUGUUUUGCUUGGAAGAGAAGGUGUUUCUCCUGAUGCAUGUUUCUGUACCACAUGUGAGCAGUGCCUGUGGAAACCUGAAAUGGUAUGGAAUCCCCCUGGGACUGGAGUUACAGACUGUGUGAGUGGACAUGCUCAUUCUGGGAAUGGACUGUCAAACUUCUGGAAAAGCGACUGUUGCUCUUAAUCACUAAGCCAUCUCUCCACUCCCUUUAUUCAUUUCUUAUGUAGUCAAGGGGAACAAAAAGAUGAGAGUUUAAAUAUUAAGUGGUCAAAAAAUUCCAAAGUAGAACCUGAUGUGAAGUUUUUAAUCCCAGCACUAAGGAGACAGAGGCAGGAGGAUCUCUGCGAGUUCAAGGGCAGCCUGGUCUAUGUUAUUUAGUGAGUUCCACGACAGCCAAGGCCACCUAGAAGCAACUUUUCCUAAAAACGGCCAAACAAAACAAGACAAAAAAAAUUCUGAAUUGGAAGGGUUGGGGAUUUAGCUCAGCGGUAGAGCGCUUGCCUAGCAGGCGCAAGGCCCUGGGUUCGGUCCCCAGCUCCGAAAAAAAGAUCC
rnacentral:sRNA from 1 species